rnacentral:rRNA from 1 species
CGGCGAGUGAAGCGGUAACAGCUCAAAUUUGAAAUCUGGCUCUUUUAGGGUCCGAGUUGUAAUUUGUAGAAGAUGCUUUGGGUGUGGCUCCGGUCUAAGUUCCUUGGAACAGGACGUCAUAGAGGGUGAGAAUCCCGUAUGUGACUGGUAGCUUUCGCCCGUGUAAAGCUCUUUCGACGAGUCGAGUUGUUUGGGAAUGCAGCUCAAAAUGGGUGGUAAAUUUCAUCUAAAGCUAAAUAUUGGCCAGAGACCGAUAGCGCACAAGUAGAGUGAUCGAAAGAUGAAAAGCACUUUGGAAAGAGAGUUAAACAGUACGUGAAAUUGUUGAAAGGGAAGCGCUUGCAACCAGACUCGCAGGCCGUCGAUCAUCUCAGGUUCUCCUGGGUGCACUCGGCGGUCUUCGGGCCAGCAUCGGUUUGGGUGGUGGGAUAAAGGCCUUGGGAAUGUAGCUUCUUUCGGGGAGUGUUAUAGCCCUCGGUGCAAUGCCGCCUACCCGGACCGAGGACCGCGCUUCGGCUAGGAUGCUGGCGUAAUGGUUGUAAGCGACCCGUCUUGAAACACGGACCAAGGAGUCUAACAUCUAUGCGAGUAUUUGGGUGUCAAACCCAUAUGCGUAAUGAAAGUGAACGGAGGUGAGAACCCUUAAGGGUGCAUCAUCGACCGAUCCUGAUGUCUUCGGAUGGAUUUGAGUAAGAGCAUAGCUGUUGGGACCCGAAAGAUGGUGAACUAUGCCUAAAUAGGGUGAAGCCAGAGGAAACUCUGGUGGAGGCUCGCAGCGGUUCUGACGUGCAAAUCGAUCGUCAAAUUUGGGUAUAGGGGCGAAAGACU